GAUGAACGCUGGCGGCGUGCCUAAUACAUGCAAGUCGAGCGAACAGACGAGGAGCUUGCUCCUCUGACGUUAGCGGCGGACGGGUGAGUAACACGUGGAUAACCUACCUAUAAGACUGGGAUAACUUCGGGAAACCGGAGCUAAUACCGGAUAAUAUAUUGAACCGCAUGGUUCAAUAGUGAAAGACGGUUUUGCUGUCACUUAUAGAUGGAUCCGCGCCGCAUUAGCUAGUUGGUAAGGUAACGGCUUACCAAGGCAACGAUGCGUAGCCGACCUGAGAGGGUGAUCGGCCACACGGGAACUUAGCCACGGUCCAGACUCCUACGGGAGGCAGCAGUAGGGAAUCUUCCGCAAUGGGCGAAAGCCUGACGGAGCAACGCCGCGUGAGUGAUGAAGGUCUUCGGAUCGUAAAACUCUGUUAUUAGGGAAGAACAAAUGUGUAAGUAACUAUGCACGUCUUGACGGUACCUAAUCAGAAAGCCACGGCUAACUACGUG
rnacentral:rRNA from 1 species